AUGACCAGGGUUGUUCUCUUGGUAACUGUGUGAAUUGGACCAUUUUCCUGUCCUGCUAAGCAUGCCAACUGUAAUGAGUACUUUUGGGUGUCAUGGAAAAUGUAUUGAGUAAAAGUACAUGAUUGUCUUUAGAACAGGAGUCGAGAAGGUCAGUGUGCAAAAUCUGGACAAGAUAGAUUGCCGCGAAAGAAAAAUAGUGUUAUAGACAAGAUAAAAACGUCAAGACAGAAGAGAGAAAGGAGACCAUGUUGAGACAUUCUCUACAUCCAGAGAGCAACAGCAGGAAGAUCACAGAGUGAAGAGGUCUCACCACUGCCCACGUUGUGAGGAGAUUUUCCAAUUCUAUCAAGCUAAAAAACACACCUAAAAAUACAGACAAUGUAGAAUCUUUAUCCCUGCUUUGACUGUGGGAAGAGCUGCACAAUAUCAAGGGAUCUGACAGUUCAUCAGUCAACACUGGAGAAAAGCCUUACUCCUGCUCUGACCGUUGGAGAGUUUCUCUCAACAUGGCCACUUAAAAACACACCAACAUAUACAUAAAUGUGAGAUUCCUCAUCAGUUCUCUGACUAGCGAAGAUUAAAAUCAUUCCAUCACUUAAUUAUCAAGAAAUCGUAGAACACUCUAUUGUAAUCCUAUAGUUUCUCACUGUGACUUAAUUAUCAAGAAGUUGUAACACACUAUUUUAGUCGUAUUGUUUCUCACUGUGAUAUCUGUGCAGAGGAAAGGGAGUGUUAUAGAAUGUUAGCCUCUCUUUACUUUACUGAUCAGUAUUCACUGAAACCUGCUUAAUUUAUCUGCAAAUUAAAAAUAAAGUUUGUACAUUUGUA